CAAGUUUCUGAGUUUCCCUGAAGAGAGAAUCCGCUUUUCUGGACACACUGAAGAAUGCAUCCGUGAUUGAAUGGACAGUGCCUCCUGCCUCUCCACCCCCUGUUCUUCCUGUCACUGCUGCUCAAGGUGCCAGCUGCCUGCCCACCAGCCACAAUUCCUGUGAAAGAGCUGGAAGACCCCUCUUGUAGUGCACCACCGUACACUGAUCGUCCCAAU